ensembl:lncRNA
GGGGACUCUUAUUCCUUAAGCAUUAGAUUUCUGAUUUGAAACCUAGUGCUCCUUUAUUACUCACAAUGAAGGCCAAGAAAAGUGUAUGACAGAAAUUCCUUCCCCAUCCAUCACCAUAGGUUCAGCUUCCAGGAACACCGUCACUUCCAGAACCAACUGCUCAGAGCCUGAAUGCAGAGACCAAACCCAACUCCAACACAUCUUCCAGCUAUUCUCAGACAUGGAGAUGUGCGCAACCCAAAGCUGACUUCCCUACAGCAUGAUUCCCCUGUCAGCAGUUUCUCACACACUAAAGAGUCUUAGAAUGGUCCACAACAGAAGAGACUGUCAGGUAUAUGGAGAAGAAAAGAGAUACUGGAACAG